UCUCUGGCGGCCUAGUGGUCAGAGCAUCUGCCUCAGAUGUGGGAGGUCAUGGGUUCAAUCCCUGGCCAAGCCAUACCAAAGAG